GCACUGGUUACUUCCCCCGUCCUCUCAGCUCUGGGAAGGGUGGGGUGGUCAUGAAGUCCUGAGAGAGCAGAGGGACACACCAACUUCUCUUGUUGGUUCCCUCAACCCUGCCCAUACCUAUGGGUAAUCAGAGAUGGAUUCAGUCUCCAGUUAGGAUCCUCAUCAAGGUAUUUGUAUGGGGGAUUCCAUGCAGAUGGUGUAUAGAGAGAAGAUAGACACAAGGGAUCUUCAUAGCCAAGGACUGGAUUUGAACAAGUCAGUCUCCAGCUAUGUUUUAGACACUGAGGACUGUGCCCGUCAUCCCUUAGAGCUUCUCUCUGGGCCACUGGCUCGAAGGGCACAUCUCAGGGAAAAAGGUUUUUAUUAAGUAUAAAAACAGGUCAUCCACACAUAGCAAUGUGCUUUUCUAGAGAAAACCAUCCUACUCACCGAGAGCCAGGAUUGAGUGGGGCUUCUGCUGUGUCUCUAGAUGAUGCCUUAAGAAACACCCACUCCCCGUGAGGGAUGUUACCAAGAAGUCAAGAACCACCAGUAACUUUGAAAAGUCCAGAUUACUCAGUCUCGGGUAUGUGUAUCAGCAAUGUGAAAACGGACUAGUACAUCUCUAGAGGCACAUGCCAUGUGGUCCAGCCAUAAUUAUUUGUUGUCACAACUAAGUUUCCUUUCUAUAUGAA
rnacentral:lncRNA from 1 species